AGUGUGGAUAGAGGCGCGGAACGCAAGGUAGCAGACCGAUGUAAAGGACAGGCAAGUCCGAGGAGGUUUGUGAAUGUCCGUACCGCCGAAAGAGAGUGUGCAAUGCCGUCACCCCUCUUGGACCUGUACGCCCAGCGCGUACGGUUUGUCAUGGAAAGCAUGGAGUGCUAUUUACGCC
rnacentral:ncRNA from 2 species